rnacentral:lncRNA from 1 species
CUGCCAAUCACCCCCUCCUCCAACUAGCACUGAGGCUAAGCACUUCCUGUGGUUUUUGGUUUCCCAUCAAUAAGACAAUUUCUGAAAGGCAAGAUUCCACCGUAAUGGAGCAGCAGUUGCUAUAUCCUGGAAAGUCUGUGUGCCUUGUGCUUUCUGUGGACGGUCUCCUUGCUUUCAUACUCAGUCCCAUGGAGGGGACAGACAGGCCUGACUGAACAGAUGAGGACUGUAACUACGGAGAGGUGGUUGACUGGUGAGGAGGAAGCAGGAUGCACCAAACUCUCCAUUGCUGAAUUUCCCAGCAACACAUCUUGCCCUUCCACCUGAAUCUGGUUUAUAAUUUAGUCCUGCAAGUCAGCCACAACUCAGCUGAUCAGUGCCUUAGAAACUGUUAGGAAUGGCUGCCUGAGGAUUUCUGAGGAAGCUUGCCCUGUGAUAGAAUCAUAGAGUGAAUACCACCGGCGAGGAAGAA